ACGAACGCUGGCGGCGUGCCUAAUCCAUGCCAGUAGAACGCUGAAGGAGGAGCUUGCUUCUCUGGAUGAGUUGCGAACGGGUGAGUAACGCGUAGGUAACCUGCCUGGUAGCGGGGGAUAACUAUUGGAAACGAUAGCUAAUACCGCAUAAGAGUAGAUGUUGCAUGACAUUUGCUUAAAAGGUGCAAUUGCAUCACUACCAGAUGGACCUGCGUUGUAUUAGCUAGUUGGUGGGGUAACGGCUCACCAAGGCGACGAUACAUAGCCGACCUGAGAGGGUGAUCGGCCACACUGGGACUGAGACACGGCCCAGACUCCUACGGGAGGCAGCAGUAGGGAAUCUUCGGCAAUGGACGGAAGUCUGACCGAGCAACGCCGCGUGAGUGAAGAAGGUUUUCGGAUCGUAAAGCUCUGUUGUAAGAGAAGAACGAGUGUGAGAGUGGAAAGUUCACACUGUGACGGUAUCUUACCAGAAAGGGACGGCUAACUACGUG
rnacentral:rRNA from 1 species